UGUGGCCUUGAGCCGUGGCUUUCGGAGCUAACGCGUUAAGUAGACCGCCUGGGGAGUACGGUCGCAAGAUUAAAACUCAAAUGAAUUGACGGGGGCCCGCACAAGCGGUGGAGCAUGUGGUUUAAUUCGAUGCAACGCGAAGAACCUUACCUACUCUUGACAUCCAGAGAACUUUCCAGAGAUGGAUUGGUGCCUUCGGGAACUCUGAGACAGGUGCUGCAUGGCUGUCGUCAGCUCGUGUCGUGA
rnacentral:rRNA from 2 species